UUCGCAAUGCCCGAAAGGGUGAACGAGCGACGCCGCGUGCGGGAUGAAGGCCUUCGGGUUGUAAACCGCUUUUGCAAGGGAAAAACUUAAUGAUGGUACCUUGCGAAUAAGAGGUUACUAACUCUGUGCCAGCAGUAGCGGUAAUACAGAGACCUCAAGCGUUAUUCGGAAUCACUGGGCUUAAAGCGCGUGUAGGCGGAUGGGAACGUCGGUCUUUGAAAGCCCCCGGCUCAACCGGGGAAGCGGAGCCGAAACGACCGAUCUGGAGGGACGUAGGGGGACCUGGAACUUCCGGUGGAGCGGUGAAAUGCGUUGAGAUCGGAAGGAACGCCCGUGGCGAAAGCGAGGUCCUGGACGUCUGCUGACGCUGAGACGCGAAAGCUAGGGGAGCAAACGGGAUUAGAUACCCCGGUAGUCCUAGCCGUAAACGAUGGGCACUAAGUAGAGGGGUUUU
rnacentral:rRNA from 1 species